rnacentral:rRNA from 1 species
UACGGAGAGUGCAAACGUUGUUCGGAAUUACUGGGCGUAAAGGGCCAGUAGGCGGCCGACUAAGUCACACGUGAAAUCCCCAGGCUUAACCUGGGAACUGCGUGUGAUACUGGAUGGCUUGAAUUCGGGAGAGGGAUGCAGAAUUCCAGGUGUAGCGGUGAAAUGCGUAGAUAUCUGGAGGAAUACCGGUGGCGAAGGCGGCAUCCUGGACCGACAUUGACGCUGAACGGCGAAAGCUAGGGGAGCAAACGGG